AUGUUGGAUAAAGAGGGCAUUACUGUCAGUGUAAAGGGUUCAGGUUCAGGUUUGAACAUCCAAGCUUUGGUCCAUCAGUCAGCAUCUGAGACCAUCCAGCCAGGAGGCUCUGUGACUCUGAACUGUACAGUACACACUGGGACCUGUGAUGGAGAACACAGUGUUUACUGGUUCAGAAACUCUGAAGAAUCUCAUCCAGGACUCAUGUACACCCAUGGAGGCAGGAAUGAUCAGUGUGAGAGGAAACUCAACACAAACCCGCACCUGUGUUCAUGGGCACCUGAUACAAUUACAAACAGCAAUGCUGGAAUACAUGCAUGCAUCAUUUCCCAUGAAUACCUUCUACAUAUGCAGGUAAUUUGA